GGAGGGUGCAAACGUUGCUCGGAUUUACUGGGCGUAAAGCGCAUGCAGGCGGGUCUGCAAAGUUUCGUGUGAAAGCCCUGGGGCUCAACCCAGGAAGUGCACGGAAAACUGGCAGACUAGAGUACUGGAGAAGUGGGCGGAAUUCCCGGUGUAGAGGUGAAAUUCGUAGAUAUCGGGAGGAACACCAGCAGCGAAAGCGGCUCACUUGACAGAUACUGACGCUCAGAUGCGAAAGCGUGGGGAGCAAACAGGAUUAGAUACCCUGGUAGUCCACGCCGUAAACGAUGGGCACUAGGUGUCGGGGGCUUGACCCCUUCGGCGCCGCCGCUAACGCAUUAAGUGCCCCGCCUGGGGACUACGGUCGCAAGACUA
rnacentral:rRNA from 1 species